AUUGAACGCUGGCGGCAGGCCUAACACAUGCAAGUCGAACGAGUGGCGGACGGGUGAGUAAUGUCUGGGAAACUGCACGAUGGAGGGGGAUAACUACUGGAAACGGUAGCUAAUACCGCAUACCAUCGGAUGUUCCCAGAUGGGGGUAGCUAGUAGGGGGGGUAACGGCGCACCUAGGCGACGAUCCCUAGCUGGUCUGAGAGGAUGCCCCGCCACACUGGAACUGAGACACGGUCCAGACUCCUACGAGAGGCAGCCGUGGGGAAUAUUGCACAAUGGGCGCAAGCCUGAUGCAGCCAUGCCGCGUGUAUGAAGAAGGCCUUCGGGUUGUAAAGUACUUUCAGCGAGGAGGCGUUACUCGCAGAAGAAGCACCGGCUAACUCCGUGCCAGCCGCCGCGGUAAUUC
rnacentral:rRNA from 1 species